CCCUGUUCACAGAUGGAGAGGAUGUCGUUUGUGAUGUUAGGUGUUCUAUCAGUCAUGUUAGGUGAUUGAGAACCGUCCGGCAGAUUCAAAUUGUUCAAUUUGCUUUGAGCACAAAUGUUUACACAUGGCACAUAAUGGACUCAAAAGUAUAUUGGCAGAUUUUAACAUUUAGAGGCUUACAGUGGAUUCCGAUCUUGUUCUCAACUGUGAUGUUCAAAUAUGCACUGUCCAACAAUUAGUCACUGCAAAGCAAUCAGGAGCAAGAGCUCUAUUUUUACUCUUCGAAGGCUAAUUGUGGUUCCCUUAACCUGCUCCCUGGGUGUGUUUAUACAGAAUGCUUGCAUUUCUGAAAAAAAAAGUUGUAAUAAUACAAGCUCUGCAUUUUUCCGGUUAUUUGAAAUCUAAAGGACAUAAAUAUUUUGAAUGGGAAGAGGUAGCAAUUAUAUAUGUUAAUAGUUUUUUUUGCUGGCAUCAUAAGGUAUGAUUUUGUUUCAUAGAUAAAAAUGCAAGGAUUAUUAUUAUUAGAAUAUCAUUUCAAUCAGGCACCAGCUUUUCUUUUGAUUAAAAUUCCAUUUCUGAACGGACUGUUCUGAGAGGCAUGGAUUUAUAAAUUUUUCAACAGGUUAGAGUUUUUUUGAUAAAACUGUUAAUGCGUUCACACAACUCUCUCUACCACACGAUUCUCAUGUCCCUGUUUCUUUGGCCUGUCCUCUAUUCGACUGCCUUUUCCCCCCCUCACCCCCCAGCCCCCCGAUCUGGUCAGUGUUUCUUAAAUGCUUUAGAAUUUAGAGAAGUCAAAGUGAUAAAAUGCCUCUGUUUUUAAAAAUUACAAUCAAAAUUUAUACAUAAAGUUCACGUUGUGCCACACAGAGCUUUGAUUAUCAACAGUAAUUGAGGAUUAUUGACUUUGAUUACCUAGUAGGUUAGUUAAAAGUAUUGGAAAAUCAAGGUUGCACCAAACUGUACGGAUGAUUUGAUGAUGUGUCAUCAUAUGACAGAUAUGCCAUGAUUAACAUCUGGAGAACAAUCUGGUUAAUAACUAUUAUGAUUGAGAAUUAUCAUGGAAGAUAAGUCAAUUGAAUAGUUGAUCAGAAAACACUGAGAUUUGAAUUGACAACUGCUGGAAGGAGUUACCUGGAGUCUGGGUUGGUGAACACAUGCUCAUAUAUCCAGAGUUUGGUACCUACCUUCAUUGGUUUGCAGAGAGGAAAGCAGCUGCUGCUAAAGCUCUGCACUUCCAGCUGGUGGAACUAUCGCUAAAUGGUAGGGUAUGGGCUGUGGGCAAGAGGAUGGUGGCAAAGCUCUCACCCAUUUCUUGCUAUUGUGUUCACCAACUAGCUUGUAAGGUGUUUCUGGUACCUGCUAUCCACCUAGCAAAGGAUCAAACUGCACUGGUCAAAUAUUUAAUGACGAACUCCUGCACUGGGCCAACAGAAAAGUGCAGGUGCACCUUUUCUGCAUUUUCCGACUCAAUGACCCCAGCCCGCUACAAACAGCCCCUCAGGCAUUAACCUUCAGGCACAGUGCACGAAGCCCCAGGCAUCUUGUGCUAUUUGCUCAACGCCUCUAGUGUGGCUGGAGAGGCUUCGAUCGCGCAGGCACGGUGAAUUUUGGGUUUGUGGAAGUGGAGUGUGCGGGAAAUCGACUUCUCUGGUGAGUAAACCUCGAUAGGAAAAGCAGCUGCAUCACACUACUGCGACACGAUCUUGGUAAGUGCUGUACUAUUAAAAUAUUUAGUAUUUUAAACAUAACUACAUUUUCUCAAAAUAUAUACCUAUAGUUUUAAUCUGGGUUGUUUCACUUUUUAGGUUGUAAAUCAUUUUUGUAAAUCCCAUGAGGAAACCAAGGGGCAGCAUGUCUCAUUUUCCGUCUGUCCCUCAGGUAGAAUUGUACUCUAUCCAGAUGACCUUUAUGAAGAAGGGGGGGCAGUUGUUUUGCCGUGUUUGCUGUCGCACAAUUGACCAUGUUAGCAAGUGCACCAUUGAUGAGCAUGUGAACUCUCGGAAACAUUGUGAAUACAAGGCAGUGGCAAUAAAGAAAAAAAAGGUGGAUCUGGACCUCAAAGACAACUUGCUCUGACAACGUGCUUCUUUAGAACUACUGCAUCAUCUAUAGAGAGGAAAGAAUUCAUAUUGGAGUUUGUGCGGUGUUUAACUGGAGCAGACAUACUGCUUGGAAAAGCUCCUGCCUGCCAAGAGUUUCUAUGCAAGUGCAUGAAACAGGGAAGGACUGUUACAACAUACUUGAAGGAGCUUAUUCCUCCAUGAAGCAAUUUUGAAGAAACAUGUUGAGGACACGGAUGUGUACUUGUUCCUGGUUGAGACCAUUGAUUGAAACUGCACUUUUGCAUCUUUUAAAAGGUGUCAUGUUCUGUUAUUCUUAAAGAAAACAUUAAUAAAUUGAGUUUUUAUGCAA